rnacentral:rRNA from 1 species
AGAGUUUGAUCAUGGCUCAGGAUGAACGCUAGCGACAGGCCUAACACAUGCAAGUCGAGGGGCAUCGGGACGUAGCAAUACGUUGCCGGCAACCGGCGGAUGGGUGAGUAACGCGUAUGCAACCUACCCGUAGCAGGGGGAUAGCCCGUUGAAAGACGGAUUAAUACCCCGUAACACAGGGGCUCCGCAUGGAGAUUAUUGUUAAAGGGUCAUUUCUUUUAGAGGUGGUCCGGCUGCGGAUGGGCAUGCGUUCCAUUAGGUAGUUGGUGUAGGUAACGGCUCACCAAGCCGACGAUGGAUAGGGGAACUGAGAGGUUGGUCCCCCACACUGGUACUGAGACACGGACCAGACUCCUACGGGAGGCAGCAGUGAGGAAUCUUGGUCAAUGGACGGAAGUCUGAACCAGCCAUGUCGCGUGAAGGAGGACGGCCCUAAGGGUUGUAAACUUCUUUUGCAGGGGAAUAAAGUAUUCCACGAGAUGGGAUAUUGCAAGUACGCUGCGAAUAAGGAUCGGCUAACUCCGUGCCAGCAGCCGCGGUAAUACGGAGGAUCCGAGCGUUAUCCGGAUUUAUUGGGUUUAAAGGGUGCGCAGGCGGGAAGUUAGGUCGGCGGUGAAAUUUCGGGGCUCAACCCCGAGAGUGCCGUUGAAACCGGUUUUCUUGAGUGCGGAUGAGGUAGGCGGAAUUUGUGGUGUAUCGGUGAAAUGCGUAGAUAUCACAAGGAACACCGAUUGCGGAGGCAGCUUACUAAACCGUUACUGACGCUCAUGCACGAAGGCGUGGGGAUCAAACAGGAUUAGAUACCCUGGUAGUCCACGCAGUAAACGAUGAUUACUAGCUGUUUGCGAUACAGUGUAAGCGGCUUAGCGAAAGCGUUAAGUAAUCCACCUGGGGAGUACGUUUGCAAGAAUGAAACUCAAAGGAAUUGACGGGGGCCCGCACAAGCGGAGGAACAUG